AACGAACGCUGGCGGCAGGCUUAAUACAUGCAAGUCGAGCGGGCACUUCGGUGUCAGCGGCGCACGGGUGCGUAACGCGUGGGAACAUGCCUUUAGGUACGGAACAACCAAGGGAAACUUUGGCUAAUACCGUAUAAUAUCUCUAGAUCAAAGAUUUAUCGCCUAAAGAUUGGCCCGCGUUAGAUUAGGUAGUUGGUGGGGUAAUGGCCUACCAAGCCGACGAUCUAUAGGGGGUCUGAGAGGAUGAUCCCCCACACUGGAACUGAGACACGGUCCAGACUCCUACGGGAGGCAGCAGUAAGGAAUAUUGGACAAUGGGCGAAAGCCUGAUCCAGCCAUGCCGCGUGAGUGAUGAAGGCCUUAGGGUUGUAAAGCUCUUUUAGAUGGGAAGAUAAUGACUGUACCAGCAGAAUAAGCCCCGGCUAAAUUCGUG
rnacentral:rRNA from 1 species